rnacentral:tRNA from 1 species
AUCGCGCUGCCGCGGGACUUCCUGGUGCCCGACGGUUUCCGGUCGACGCGCCUGCGCGACCUGUCGGCGCUGGCGGUGGCGCUGCCGCCGCGCGCUGC